rnacentral:miRNA from 1 species
UUUGUGUGUAUGUGUGUGUAUCUAUAUGUAUAUACACACACACACACACACACACACACACACACACACACACACACACA